AAGAUGAGAACAGGAGUGGGAAAUGGGGUGACGGGGACACCACAAUACUUCACAAACCUGUUAACUCAGUGGGACAACACAAAACAGAUCAUAAUGACAAAAGAAAGUCCAGGUCACAAGCUGACAGAGUCUGUGAUUAUCAACUCUUCAUCCUCAAUGACCAAAAGCAGGAAAGCAAGACAGCAAGGACAGUGACUGUGCCCUCUGCGGCAGCUUGAAGGGUCUGGAUAAAUCUUCUUUUAAAUGUUAUUGUCCAACCAGGGAUGCUUGGGAGUAAAUCAAGUGAUGCAGCCUGAUCUGAUGACGCCAUUGAUUUCAUUGUUGAACCAGAGAAGAGCAGGUCAGGAGGGUUCAUCAUGAAACUAAGAGAAAGCAAGCUAGAAGAAAACGUGAUUUCUUAUCCAACUCCACACAAAUUUGAG
rnacentral:lncRNA from 1 species